rnacentral:rRNA from 1 species
CCUACGGGUGGCAGCAGUAGGGAAUUUUCGGCAAUGGGGGGAACCCUGACCGAGCAACGCCGCGUGAACGAAGAAGUUAUUCGUAAUGUAAAGUUCUUUUAACAGGGAAGAAAGAGAAAUUUGACGGUACCUGAAGAAUAAGCUCCGGCUAACUACGUGCCAGCAGCCGCGGUAAUACGUAGGGAGCGAGCGUUAUCCGGAAUUAUUGGGCGUAAAGGGUGCGUAGAUGGCAUAGUGAGUCUUUUGUAAAAAUGCUGGGCUCAACCCAGUAGGGCAAAGGAUACUGCAAAGCUAGAGUAUAACAGAGGCAAGUGGAACUACAUGUGUAGCGGUAAAAUGCGUAGAUAUAUGUAGGAACACCAGUGGCGAAGGCGGCUUGCUGGGUCGAUACUGACGUUGAGGCACGAAAGCGUGGGGAGCAAACAGGAUUAGAUACCCGAGUAGUC